rnacentral:rRNA from 1 species
UACGUAGGCAGCAAGCGUUGUUCGGAAUUACUGGGCGUAAAGAGUGUGUAGGCGGUGCUCCAAGUCUGACGUGAAAUCCCCGGGCUCAACCUGGGAAUUGCGUUGGAGACUGCAAGGCUGGAGUCUGGCAGAGGGGGGUAGAAUUCCACGUGUAGCAGUGAAAUGCGUAGAGAUGUGGAGGAACACCGAUGGCGAAGGCAGCCCCCUGGGUCAAGACUGACGCUCAUGCACGAAAGCGUGGGGAGCAAACAGG